rnacentral:lncRNA from 1 species
ACAUAUAUAUUAGUUUUCAACAAGUCAGGAUUUUCAACAACUCUAAAAUUUCAAUUUUAUAUUCUGAACACACUUCAAAAUUAUCCACUUGAUGCAGGAUAUAACCAUAGGGAGAUAAAAAUUCAUGCAAUGAUACUCAGGUUUUUUUUUUAAAGGUAAAUCCAAUAUUUGAUCAUUCAAUGCUACAUAAAGUGCAUUGAAUAUCGAAAAUAAAACAAGCGCCAAUUUUAUCAUUAAUUAAUAACACAUUUAUUAUCUUGAAACCAAACUGGCCCAAGUUACUUUUUGUCUUUUUGAGUCAGCUCUGUAUAAACUCAUUUCUCUCAAGCUUCCUGGGAAAUAAAAACCAAGAUAUUUCAUUUAUUCUUUGCAGUUAACAAGAGAUGGCAGCGGGCUCAAGGUAGGUAUGUUCUUGAUAAUUCAGAGUCAGAA